rnacentral:lncRNA from 1 species
ACACACACACACACAUAUAUAUAUACACCCACACGGCAUGUGCAUAUGCACAGUUGCAUAACACAAAAACCCAAGUAGAUAGACCCGCACGUGUGCAAGUACAUACCUGUACACACACAAAGAAGCAACUGCACACAUGCCCAUACACACACCUGCUCCCUCCCCCUCCCCCACCAUCCAGCACACAUUCCUAUUCCCAUGUAGACAGGUCCAUGUAUCCAUUCCCCAGAUAAUCAGAGACCCAGAUAAAAUAAAGCUUCCAGGAUGACAGACACCUAGCAGACAGGGUGGUUAGUUUAUGUAGGCUGUAGGCAGAGUCGACUGGAAAAUUUUGAUCACUUUAAUUUACUAUAUCCAGCCUGCCUGCUGGACUCUCCCUGCGCUUUGAUCAAGCUCUGUGAGGUGGUAUUGAUUUUUUUAUUUUCUAUGGAGGAUAAGAAGACAGAGAGUUAGAAACAAGAGUGAAUGAAGAACUUUCCUCAGAUUACUGCUAUUCUCUCCCUUAUUGCAUUCUGUCGUUUGUGGUUUCAGAUGAUGUCCGGAGUGUCAGAGUUGCUUGAAGCAAUAAAGCGGCUGGACAACAGAGGAAGGAAAGCUGCUGACGGGACCUUGCCAAAAGCGCACCUGCGGCCGUGGAUGCUGAAAUGAAAACUGAAAUGUCUUGCCAAGAUGAAAACGGAGCCAGUUCUACGGUGGGAGUGGGAUGGAGGACCGAACGUCUUCACUGGGAACAAUCCUGGCUCCCCCUCCACGUCAUCCUGGGGCCACGCUUCCGGCCUGCCUGGCGCCAGCGCUGCGCUUAGGACGGAUCCCCAGGAAACCAAAGUGAAAGCAGGAAUCCGAACCGGCCAGUGGCGGGGUGUGGAUUCGAAGCGUUUUUGGCCAAGCUCCGAAGCCGUGUGGGAGUGUCAUUUUGCCUCCAUCUGAUGGUCUCCUGGAACAGAACUCUCACGCUGACCUCCGUGGACGUCCUCUGUUUCUACCCCGCCGCCCCAAGCGUUCAGAACGCGUGUUUACUUCAUUUGUCCUGACGGGCGCUGUAAUUACAGGCAGUUUGUUUCCUCUGCUGUAAUAUACGGUCUCGAGCAGGAAUAAAGUAACGUGGAAAAUUAACAUUGUGAUGUACUGUACGGUGGAAUAACACUAAAAACACUUAGCAGCGGGCGCACUGGAGGUGUUGUUUGUGUUGUGUGCAAGAGCUAUAAAGAUUUAAGUGGCUCUUUCUCAACUAUAUUUGCAUGAUUUUCGACUGCAGUAAAAUGAAUCUGAUCCGUCUCGGAG